AGCGAACGCUGGCGGCAGGCCUAACACAUGCAAGUCGAACGAACCUUUCGGGGUUAGUGGCGGACGGGUGAGUAACACGUGGGAACGUGCCUUUAGGUUCGGAAUAACUCAGGGAAACUUGUGCUAAUACCGAAUGUGCCCUUCGGGGGAAAGAUUUAUCGCCUUUAGAGCGGCCCGCGUCUGAUUAGCUAGUUGGUUGAGGUAAUGGCUCACCAAGGCGACGAUCAGUAGCUGGUCUGAGAGGAUGAUCAGCCACAUUGGGACUGAGACACGGCCCAAACUCCGACGCGAGGGAGCAGUGGGGAAUCUUGCGCAAUGGGCGAAAGCCUGACGCAGCCAUGCCGCGUGAAUGAUGAAGGUCUUAGGAUUGUAAAAUUCUUUCACCGGAGACGAUAGUGACGGUACCCGGAGAAGAAGCCCCGGCUAACUACGUG
rnacentral:rRNA from 1 species